AGCGUGGAGACAGGUGGUGCAUGGCUGUCGUCAGCUCGUGUCGUGAGAUGUUGGGUUAAGUCCCGCAACGAGCGCAACCCUCACCCCUAGUUGCCGCCGGGUUAAGCCGAGCACUCAAGGGGGACUGCCAGCGUCAAGCUGGAGGAAGGCGGGGAUGACGUCAAGUCAUCAUGCCCCUUACGCCCUGGGCUACACACGUGCUACAAUGGCCAGUACAAAGGGACGCGAGACCGCGGAGUGGAGCUAAUCCCAAAAAGCUGGUCUAAGUUCAGAUUGCAGUCUGCAACUCGACUGCAUGAAGGAGGAAUCGCUAGUAAUCGCGUAUCAGCCCGGCGCGGUAAAUACGUUCCCGGGCCUUGUACACACCGCCCGUCACACCACGAAAGCUGUCUGUACUCGAAGUCGCUGAG
rnacentral:rRNA from 1 species